AUAAUAAUAAUAUAAUGUACGUCGGAUAUUAUUGUUACACGACGACGACGGUCGUAAUAAUAACGAGAUAGGCGUAUUUUCUCGCCGCGGUUCAGCAGCAGCAGCGUCGGACGUCUCGCGGACCCGGGACCACGGGCGGCCGAGGUGCGGUUUUCGGGCGGCGACGAUGACCGGGCCGAAACGUUUAGGCGUAUACGUUCGAUUUCUCGCCCGAGACGGGCGAAAUUUAUUAAAUCGAUUAAAAAAAAAAAAAAAGAAAAGAAAAGAAAAAAAAAACCGUAGACGAUUAAUAACGGACAUCAGUGUCUUUUUUUUUUUGUCUUUAUUCAUUAUCUCGUUUCU